rnacentral:rRNA from 1 species
GACGAACGCUGGCGGCGUGCCUAAUACAUGCCAGUCGAACGCUGAAGGAGGAGCUUGCUUCUCUGGAUGAGUUGCGAACGGGUGAGUAACGCGUAGGUAACCUGCCUGGUAGCGGGGGAUAACUAUUGGAAACGAUAGCUAAUACCGCAUAAGAGUAGAUGUUGCAUGACAUUUGCUUAAAAGGUGCAAUUGCAUCACUACCAGAUGGACCUGCGUUGUAUUAGCUAGUUGGUGGGGUAACGGCUCACCAAGGCGACGAUACGUAGCCGACCUGAGAGGGUGAUCGGCCACACUGGGACUGAGACACGGCCCAGACUCCUACGGGAGGCAGCAGUAGGGAAUCUUCGGCAAUGGACGGAAGUCUGACCGAGCAACGCCGCGUGAGUGAAGAAGGUUUUCGGAUCGUAAAGCUCUGUUGUAAGAGAAGAACGAGUGUGAGAGUGGAAAGUUCACACUGUGACGGUAUCUUACCAGAAAGGGACGGCUAACUACGUG